rnacentral:misc_RNA from 1 species
GAGGAAGAAGAGGAGUUAUCAUGUGGCGGAGGACGAUUUUGAGGCUGAUUUCCAGGAUUUUGAUUAUGAAUCGUGCAAGCCAGCGUUCUCUAGAGAGGGUUCAACCGCCCGGUACCCAAUAGAACUUGAAGGAGCUGCUGACAAACUGGCCAAGAGGAAGAAGAAGAAUCAGUACAGGGGCAUACGACAGCGCCCAUGGGGCAAAUGGGCAGCAGAAAUCCGAGAUCCUAGCAAAGGUGUUCGUGUCUGGCUUGGAACAUUCAACACUGCUGAAGAAGCCGCCAGGGCUUACGAUGCAGAAGCCCGUAAGAUCAGGGGUAAGAAAGCCAAGGUGAACUUUCCCGAAGAUGCCCCGCCACUUCUUCAGAGGCACAUACCCAAACCUCGUGUUAUGAAAGCUCCCAAGGCAAGCCUUUCAGAGAAGCUAGACCUCGACCUCGGCCAGUCCUUCAAUUACUUUACCGACCCAAAUUUUACUCUCUACUCUUCUCUGGGUCUCUAUGAGGAGGAGUUGGCUAAACCUGAGUGUUUGAAGUCCUUCCCUACUAUGAAAUCUUUUGCAGGGAAUUUCCAGUCUGAUCAGGAUAGUAACUCUUUCGAUUAUUCUCUUGGGCAAAACCUAGAGGUAAGGACUCCGGAGAUAAUGUCACAUCUUACUCCACCGAUAACCGAAGUUAAUGAAUCCGAAUUCCUGGAAGAUGGUUCCCCUGCAAAGAAACUGAUUGAAGAAGAGAAAAAUGCAGUGACAGACGGAGACGCCGCAGCGAAACUCUCUGAGGAGCUCUCUCUGUUUGAAUCAUACAUGAAAUUCAUGGAUAUCCCAUAUCUUGAAGGGAAUUUAAGUGAGUCGAUGGACAAUCUCUUAGGAAAUGAUGUAACUCAGGAUGGGGCGAGUCAGGUGGAGCUGUGGAGCUUUGAUGACAUGCCUGCUACUGUCUGUUGAGGUAAGUGUUCUGCUCUUUAUGUAGAUAAGGAUUAAACAUAAGAUGGUAUCUUAUUUUUUGCUUCUGAUCCAAGUCUUGGCUUCAUGUUGUUGAUUUAAGUUGUCGGUCUUGUAUGUUAAUCUCCCCUUUCAGGGAUCCAUAAUGUAAAUUUGGUUUCUGA